GUGAAGAUCAACAAGUUAAUGUACAUGUACCACACAUAUUUAACAACAAUGGCAAUGAUGGUCUGAGAUACCGACAACAGUUUGCAGAGACUCACUUUUGAGUUGCAUUGGGAGUUGUAGGCCUGCAAACUUGUAGUCAUGGAUGUUAAUGGUAGUGAAGGCUCUUGUACAGAUGCGGCGACUAGAGGGCUAGAGUUGAGAAUGAGGGGAUCCAUACCAGGAGGUCCCUCAAAGACAUUGAUUCCCCUGUGAUGAAAAGAGAUUAAUUAAAUGCUUACUUAGUAUUCUCCUUUCUAUAUCUUCUGCAGCUCUUUUGAAUUAUUAAAUUAUAUGAUUGCAUUGAAUGUUUAUUACAAUGAAUGUUAUUCUUUUUUA